rnacentral:misc_RNA from 1 species
GUUUGUUUGCCUUAUUCAAUGAAAUGGAAAUGGAUGAAUUGAAUUUGAACCCUUCAACGAACGCUACUUCCGUCGUCCUCACCUUUCUCCUACCUUAUACGUCGUCGUUUUCAUCUCCUUUCUUCCUCCUACGACCAUGAUUAUACCCUUUAAACCUCUCUUUGGAUCUCAACCGCAGAUCCUCUCUUUCUUCUUCAAUCCUUAUGGACCCUUCUACCUCUCGCCCUGCUGUAGUCAUUGACAAUGGAACCGGGUAUACAAAAAUUGGUUUUGCUGGAAAUGUGGAGCCAUGUUUCAUACUACCUACAGUUGUUGCAGCUAACGAAUCAUUUGUUAAUCAGCCUCGAGCUUUAACUAAGAACAGCAACUGGUUAGCCCAGCACAGUGCAGGGGUUAUGGCCGAUCUCGAUUUCUUUAUUGGGGAUGAGGCUUUGACCAGAUCUAAAUCUAGUAGCAAUUACAAUCUUACCUAUCCUAUUCAACAUGGACAAG